rnacentral:ncRNA from 1 species
CAAGUAGAGGUUGCGUUGAUCAAGAGUAGCUGCCGGAUGCAUCGGGUGCGAGGGAAGGCAGAAGAAAGGGUGAUACGCCGAAGGAACGGUAUUCCGAGAUGCCGGAUCCUGGGCGCAGGAUGAAUAAUUCUGCGACUGUCAUUGUUAUGAGCAAUUAGACGCAGACGCCUGCUUUCAGGCUGUUUGGCAGAAUGCAGAGACAAUGGGGAGCUACUU